UCUCUCUCUCUCUCUCUAUAUGCAGAGCACUGCAUUCCUUCUCUCUCCAGUCUCCAUCAAUUCCUCCAAGGCUUUGUCACCGUACCACCACAUUGACGCUCAAUCCCAUGCCUACGCCGCCGCAUUCGAGAUCGCUCGUUUUAGCCGCCUCCAUUAACGGCCUCUCUGGCUCCUCUCUUCGCCAGUUUCCGUUAACUCGUUUCUCUUCGCCUUCCUCGUCGUCGUCGAACUACUUCAUUUCUACUCCGCAUCCCGUUCCCGAUCGCGAACUGCGUGGCAUUGAACCGAUACCCACAACGGUCACACCCACACCCGAAACCCCUCACAGACGAAACCCCCUCCUCUCUCCCUCUCCCUCUCCCUCUCCCAUGGAAACGAAGACUCCAAACUUCCAUCCACCACCUCUGCUAAUGGCGGCCAUGCAUCCUCUAUCCGCGCCACCGGCGGGGAGGCCGGCGCUGCGAGUUCGUUCGCCUCGGCCAAGGACUGGAAGAGUUAGGCAUAGCUGUUUGGAUAGGUGGUUUUCUUUUGACGUAAACAUUGUUCUACAAUGGAAUUUCAGAAAUCUUGAAGGAAUCUGGAUGGGGAGGAAAAGAGGGAGAGAGAGAAGGAGAAGAAGACGGCGACGACGCAGCCAAUAUUUUUAGGGGUCGAUUCUGACUUUGCACUCCAUGUCGCCGAAUCCGUGGGUUUCUAUGUAUUUCCUCCUCUCCGUAAAAACACAGAAUGAUACAUGAUGUCUGUUCCCUGUCGGACGAAAAUAGGGCAGGUUGGCACCUCUCUCUAUCACGAAAGCUCUAUUGUUAUUGGGUGAUGCAGAUCAA